rnacentral:misc_RNA from 1 species
GAAGUGCGAUAAGUAGUGUGAAUUGCAGGAUUCCGUGAAUCAUCGAAUCUUUGAACGCAAAUUGCACUCUCUGGUAUUCCGGAGAGUAUGCCUGUUUGAGGGUCGGUUAAAUAAUUAAUCGGUAUGUCGUUUAUUUUGCGGCAUGUCGGAGUUGGUUUUUCUUAGCUUUCUUAGGUUAAGUGAUCUAAAAUUAUGUUCAAUUAUACUUCAGUAUGAUUACGUACAUAAUAAUUUUUGUCGUUUGAAUAUUGAAGGUAAUAUUAGGCGCGACCAUUUUAAUGGCUAUUCGUGCCUAUAAUUUUUCGAGAAACGACCUCAAAUCAGGUAGGAGGACCCGCUGAACUUAA